GAUGAAGAACGCAGCGAAAUGCGAUAAGUAAUGUGAAUUGCAGAAUUCAGUGAAUCAUCGAAUCUUUGAACGCACAUUGCGCCCGCCAGCAUUCUGGCGGGCAUGCCUGUUCGAGCGUCAUUUCAACCCUCGAGCCCCCCCCCGGGGGCCUCGGUGUUGGGGGACGGCACACCAGCCGCCCCCGAAAUGCAGUGGCGACCCCGCCGCGGCCUCCCCUGCGUAGUAGCACACACCUCGCACCGGAGCGCGGAGGCGGUCACGCCGUAAAACGCCCAACUUUCUUAGAGUUGACCUCGGAUCAGGUAGGAAUACCCGCUGAACUUAAGCAUAUCAAUAAGCGGAGGA
rnacentral:misc_RNA from 1 species